ACCCGCACAAGCGGUGGAGCAUGUGGUUUAAUUCGAUGCAACGCGAAGAACCUUACCUGGGCUUGACAUCCCGGGAAUCCCUUGGAAACAAGGGAGUGCCCUUCGGGGAACCUGGAGACAGGUGCUGCAUGGCUGUCGUCAGCUCGUGUCGUGAGAUGUUGGGUUAAGUCCCGCAACGAGCGCAACCCUUGUCAUUAAUUGCCAUCAUUCAGUUGGGCACUUUAAUGAGACUGCCGGUGACAAACCGGAGGAAGGUGGGGAUGACGUCAAGUCCUCAUGGCCCUUAUGGGUAGGGCUUCACACGUAAUACAAUGGUCGGUACAGAGGGUUGCCAACCCGCGAGGGGGAGCCAAUCCCAGAAAACCGAUCGUAGUCCGGAUUGCAGUCUGCAACUCGACUGCAUGAAGUCGGAAUCGCUAGUAAUCGCGGAUCAGCAUGUCGCGGUGAAUACGUUCCCGGGCCUU
rnacentral:rRNA from 1 species